GAUGAACGCUAGCUACAGGCUUAACACAUGCAAGUCGAGGGGUAACGAGAGGAAAGCUUGCUUUCCUUGUCGACGACCGGCGCACGGGUGAGUAAGGCGUAUCCAACCUGCCCCCAACUAGGGAAUAACCUUGCGAAAGUAAGACUAAUACCCUAUAAUUUCCUCAGAUGUCAUCUGACGAGGAAUAAAGAUUUAUCGGUUGUGGAUGAGGAUGCGUCUGUUUAGCUUGUUGGCGGGGUAACGGCCCACCAAGGCAACGAUCAGUAGGGGUUCUGAGAGGAAGGUCCCCCACAUUGGAACUGAGACACGGUCCAAACUCCUACGGGAGGCAGCAGUGAGGAAUAUUGGUCAAUGGGCGGAAGCCUGAACCAGCCAAGUAGCGUGCAGGAUGACGGCCCUAUGGGUUGUAAACUGCUUUUAUACAGGAAUAAAGUUAGCCACGUGUGGUUAUUUGUAGGUACUGUAUGAAUAAGGACCGGCUAAUUCCGUGCCAGCCGCCGCCGUAA
rnacentral:rRNA from 1 species